AGGGGCAUAGUUCAAUGGUAGAACAGCGGUCUCCAAAACCGUCAAUGAGAGUUCGACUCUUUCUGCCCCUG
rnacentral:tRNA from 1 species